rnacentral:rRNA from 1 species
GAUGAACGCUGGCGGCGUGGAUAAGGCAUGCAAGUCACGGGGGCUCUUCGGAGCAACCGGCAAACGGGUUAGUAAUGCAUAGGAAUCUACCGAGAAGUUUGGCAUAGCUUUCCGAAAGGAAAGGUAAUUCCAAAUGGUCUCCGACCUUGCGUCGGAGUAAAGACAAUAGCAAUAUUGUCGCUUCUUGAGGAGCCUGUGUCCUAUCAGCUUGUUGGCGGGGUAAUGGCCCACCAAGGCUAUGACGGGUAGGGGAUGUGAGAGCAUGAUCCCCAACAUUGGGACUGAGACACUGCCCAAACACCUACGGGAGGCAG